rnacentral:rRNA from 1 species
GUCCACGCCGUAAACGAUGAGUACUAGGUGUAGGGGGUAUCGACCCCCUCUGUGCCGAAGCUAACGCGAUGAGUACUCCGCCUGGGGACUACGGCCGCAAGGCUAAAACUCAAAGGAAUUGACGGGGGCCCGCACAAGCAGCGGAGCGUGUGGUUUAAUUCGAUGAUACGCGAAGAACCUCACCCAGGUUUGACAUGCAUGUAGUACAGAGAUGAAAGUCGACGGACCCUUCGGGGAGCAUGCACAGGUGUUGCACGGCCGUCGU